CGAGGGUUCCCAGCUCAUGAACAAGAGGAUGAGGACAGCCUGGAGGAAGGUAAGAGGAUGUGGGGGUGGGGGAGUCAGUGACUGGGCCAGCUGGACUCUUUCCGGGGAGACACUAGAGGAUGGGACUGGUGGACCCUGCACUAGUAAGAGGCCCUCAUACCUCGCCCCUCCCCCAGACUCGCAGAGGGCCCCAGGCUCCGGCCAGCAUUCGGAGAGCCACGGGGAGUCGUCGGGUGAGCUGGAUGAGCAGGAUAUCUCACCUCAGAAAUCGCAGUGCCCGGCACAGGACCCAGCCGGCAGCAAUGAGGAGACCACUGCCAAAGCCAAGCAAAGCCGCAGCGAGAAGAAGGCUCGAAAGGCAAUGUCGAAACUGGGCUUACGGCAGAUUCAGGGAGUCACCAGGAUCACCAUCCAGAAGUCAAAGAACAUCUUGUUUGUGAUUGCCAAGCCAGAUGUCUUCAAGAGCCCU
rnacentral:lncRNA from 1 species